rnacentral:rRNA from 1 species
AUUGAACGCUGGCGGCAGGCUUAACACAUGCUAGUCGAACGAUGAAACUCUAGCUUGCUAGAGAAGAUUAGUGGCGGACGGGUGAGUAACAUUUAGGAAUCUGCCUAGUAGUGGGGGAUAGCUCGGGGAAACUCCAAUUAAUACCGCAUACGACCUACGGGUGAAAGGGGGCGCAAGCUCUUGCUAUUAGAUGAGCCUAAAUCAGAUUAGCUAGUUGGUGGGGUAAAGGCCCACCAAGGCGACGAUCUGUAACUGGUCUGAGAGGAUGAUCAGUCACACCGGAACUGAGACACGGUCCGGACUCCUACGGGAGGCAGCAGUGGGGAAUAUUGGACAAUGGGGGCAACCCUGAUCCAGCCAUGCCGCGUGUGUGAAGAAGGCCUUUUGGUUGUAAAGCACUUUAAGCAGGGAGGAGAGGCUAAUGGUUAAUACCCAUUAGAUUAGACGUUACCUGCAGAAUAAGCACCGGCUAACUCUGUGCCAGCAGCCGCGGUAAUACAGAGGGUGCGAGCGUUGAUCGGAAUUACUGGGCCGUAAGCGAGUGUAGGUGGCUCAUUAAGUCACAUGUGAAAUCCCCGGGCUUAACUGGGGAACUGCAUGUGAUACUGGUGGUGCUAGAAUAUGUGAGAGGGAAGUAGAAUUCCAGGUGUAGCGGUGAAAUGCGUAGAGAUCUGGAGGAAUACCGAUGGCGAAGGCAGCUUCCUGGCAUAAUAUUGACACUGAGAUUCGAAAGCGUGGGUAGCAAACAGGAUUAGAUACCCUGGUAGUCCACGCCGUAAACGAUGUCUACUAGCCGUUGGGGUCCUUGAGACUUUAGUGGCGCAGUUAACGCGAUAAGUAGACCGCCUGGGGAGUACGGCCGCAAGGUUAAAACUCAAAUGAAUUGACGGGGGCCCGCACAAGCGGUGGAGCAUGUGGUUUAAUUCGAUGCAACGCGAAGAACCUUACCUGGUCUUGACAUAGUGAGAAUCUUUCAGAGAUGAGAGAGUGCCUUCGGGAAUUCACAUACAGGUGCUGCAUGGCUGUCGUCAGCUCGUGUCGUGAGAUGUUGGGUUAAGUCCCGCAACGAGCGCAACCCUUUUCCUCAUUUGCCAGCGGGUUAAGCCGGGAACUUUAAGGAUACUGCCAGUGACAAACUGGAGGAAGGCGGGGACGACGUCAAGUCAUCAUGGCCCUUACGACCAGGGCUACACACGUGCUACAAUGGUAGGUACAGAGGGUUGCUACACAGCGAUGUGAUGCUAAUCUCAAAAAGCCUAUCGUAGUCCGGAUUGGAGUCUGCAACUCGACUCCAUGAAGUCGGAAUCGCUAGUAAUCGCAGAUCAGAAUGCUGCGGUGAAUACGUUCCCGGGCCU